rnacentral:rRNA from 1 species
CGCCUACAAGCAGUGGGAGGAUCUUCAUGAUCUGACCGCGUACCUCUUGCAUAAUGGGUCUGUGACUUAAUGUAUCAAGCAAGCUUAAGCCGUUAGGUGUAGGCGCAGCGAAAGCGAGUCUGAAUAGGGCGAUUGAGUCGCGUGUCCUAGACCCGAAGCGGAGUGAUCUACCCAUGGCCAGGGUGAAGCGCGGGUAAGACCGCGUGGAGGACCGAACCCACUUCGGUUAAAAACGGAGGGGAUGAGCUGUGGGUAGGGGUGAAAGGCCAAUCAAACUCCGUGAUAGCUGGUUCUCCCCGAAAUGCAUUUAGGUGCAGCGUC